rnacentral:rRNA from 1 species
GAAGAGUUUGAUCCUGGCUCAGGACGAACGCUGGCGGCGUGCCUAAUACAUGCAAGUCGAGCGAGCUUGCCUAGAUGAAUUUGGUGCUUGCACCAAAUGAAACUAGAUACAAGCGAGCGGCGGACGGGUGAGUAACACGUGGGUAACCUGCCCAAGAGACUGGGAUAACACCUGGAAACAGAUGCUAAUACCGGAUAACAACACUAGACGCAUGUCUAGAGUUUAAAAGAUGGUUCUGCUAUCACUCUUGGAUGGACCUGCGGUGCAUUAGCUAGUUGGUAAGGUAACGGCUUACCAAGGCAAUGAUGCAUAGCCGAGUUGAGAGACUGAUCGGCCACAUUGGGACUGAGACACGGCCCAAACUCCUACGGGAGGCAGCAGUAGGGAAUCUUCCACAAUGGACGCAAGUCUGAUGGAGCAACGCCGCGUGAGUGAAGAAGGGUUUCGGCUCGUAAAGCUCUGUUGGUAGUGAAGAAAGAUAGAGGUAGUAACUGGCCUUUAUUUGACGGUAAUACUUAGAAAGUCACGGCUAACUACGUGCCAGCAGCCGCGGU